UGUUGGAACUAUUUAAAGAUCAGGCAACCUCCAUUUUCAUCCCUUUCUCUAGAGAUAGGUGCCUCAGUGAUGUGCCUGACCAUGCUAUGCUCAUGGUGAAAGAGCAGGGCAAAGAGACAGCACUGAUGUAGGUGUAGGAGAGAUGUCCAUUAUGACUCCCCACUUGGUGCUCUCCAUCUCCCUGUGCUGGGCUGCAGAAGCUGCAUGUCUACCAUGGCUCACAUAAAGAGGUGCCUCCUUUGCCAAGCUGCCAAAGAGAAUCAUCAUCUUGACUCUUGUGAGGUGGAUUUGUUUUGCUCCUGAAGGCCAGCAGCUACCAGAGGCAUCUGCACAGGCCUGCCUUUGCUGAAAUCCACUUGUGUGCUCCAAGACAGUGUGUGUGUCACCUCUGCACAGGUCUGGUCCCAUCACGGCCCAGCUUUGCACUGGCACCCAACAUGCAGUCAGGGGGUGAACUCUCAAUAGCUUAAGAGAAGACUUGAAGAUGUAUAUGAAGACAUGGCUCCAGAGGGUACUUUGUAAACCUUGUGUUCCCAAGGGAUGGAUGUGCUGUGGUGGUAUGGAGAGCAGGCUCUUCACCUUGUCUGCACCUGCUUGGCUGCACAUCACCCAGGUGAAGUGCAUCCAAGCCUUUGGUGCCAGGGUGCCUGGACCCACCCCAGGGAGGAUCUGAAGCUAGUGAUCCAAAGCCUGUGCAAAAUGAGCUGCAGGGAUGCAAAUACAUCCUAAAGCACUUCAGCCAUCAUCAGCUACUAGAAGGAGAACUAACCUGAAAUCCAUCAUUCCUGUGUGGAAGCCAAAUGACUGAAAAAUCAUUACAUGUGCCAGCUCGUAAGUGAUGUGUGAUGAGGUGCUCAGCAGUUGAUCAUGGGAGAGAAGAAACUGCUUUAUGAAAGAGAGGGAGGGGGAAAGACAGAAGAAUCUGCCUACACCAAACUGAACCUUCUCCAAGAGAUGAGACACAGGUUUUGUUGCGCUGAAGUAACCGCUAAAAAAGAGAACCAUUGAACUUGGUGAUGGAA